GUGGGGAAUAUUCCGCAAUGGACGAAAGUCUGACGGAGCAACGCCGCGUGAGUGAUGAAGGUUUUCGGACUGUAAAGCUCUGUUGUUUGGGACGAAAGUGCCUGUUGCGAACAGUUACGGGUAUUGACGGUACUAAACGAGGAAGCCACGGCUAACUACGUGCCAGCAGCCGCGGUAAUACGUAGGUGGCAAGCGUUGUCCGGAAUUAUUGGUCGUAAAGAGCAUGUAGGCGGGAAUCUAAGUCUGUUGUUAAAAUGCGGGGCUCAACCCCGUAGUGCGAUGGAAACUGGGUUUCUUGAGUGCAGGAGAGGAAAGGGGAAUUCCCAGUGUAGCGGUGAAAUGCGUAGAUAUUGGGAGGAACACCAGUGGCGAAGGCGCCUUUCUGGACUGUGUCUGACGCUGAGAUGCGAAAGCCAGGGUAGCGAACGGGAUUAGAAACCCCGGUAGUCC
rnacentral:rRNA from 1 species